CCUCAGAACAACUCUCUAACCCAAAACGACGAAGGUGAAAUCUCUGCCACAGAUGUCCAGACACAAUUCUUGGUUUGUAUGUUUCCAUUGCACAAGAAUUGCGUUUGGACAAUCAGGAGCAGAGAUUCCUGCAGUCCGGGAUUGGCAGGCAUCUUCCAGG
rnacentral:miRNA from 1 species